rnacentral:rRNA from 1 species
CCUACGGGAGGCUGCAGUGGGGAAUAUUGGACAAUGGGGGGAACCCUGAUCCAGCCAUGCCGCGUGUGUGAAGAAGGCCCUCGGGUUGUAAAGCACUUUCAGUGAGGAAGAACGCCUGGUGGUUAAUACCCAUCAGGAAAGACAUCACUCACAGAAGAAGCACCGGCUAACUCCGUGCCAGCAGCCGCGGUAAUACGGAGGGUGCGAGCGUUAAUCGGAAUUACUGGGCGUAAAGCGCGCGUAGGUGGCUUGAUAAGCCGGUUGUGAAAGCCGCGGGCUCAACCUGGGAACGGCAUCCGGAACUGUCAAGCUAGAGUGCAGGAGAGGAAGGUAGAAUUCCCGGUGUAGCGGUGAAAUGCGUAGAGAUCGGGAGGAAUACCAGUGGCGAAGGCGGCCUUCUGGACUGACACUGACACUGAGGUGCGAAAGCGUGGGUAGCAAACAGGAUUAGAUACCCCUGUAGUC